CUUGUCUCAUUUAGAGGAAGUAAAAGUCGUAACAAGGUCUCCGUUGGUGAACCAGCGGAGGGAUCAUUACAGAGUUAUCCAACUCCCAAACCCAUGUGAACUUAUCUCUUUGUUAGNCUCGGCGCAAGCUACCCGGGACCCAGCGCCCCGGGCGGCCCGCCGGCGGACAAACCAAACUCUUGUUAUUCAAUGGAUUAUCUGAGCGUCUUAUUUAAUAAGUCAAAACUUUCAACAACGGAUCUCUUGGUUCUGGCAUCGAUGAAGAACGCAGCGAAAUGCGAUAAGUAGUGUGAAUUGCAGAAUUCAGUGAAUCAUCGAAUCUUUGAACGCACAUUGCGCCCUUUGGUAUUCCUUAGGGCAUGCCUGUUCGAGCGUCAUUUCAAACUUCAAGCCCCCCUUUAGCUUGGUGUUGGGCGUCUGUCCUCCCCCCGGGACUCGCCUCAAAUGCAUUGGCAGCCGGCACGUUGGCUUCGAGCGCAGCAGAAACGCGCGCGGCGUCCGACGGUGCCCGGCUCUCCAGGAAGCCUCCACCUCAAGUUUGACCUCGGAUCAGGUAGGGAUACCCGCUGAACUUAAGCAUAUCAAUAAGCGGAGGA
rnacentral:rRNA from 1 species